AGUCAAUAGAUACCCUGGUAGUCCACGCCGUAAACGAUGUCGACUUGGAGGUUGUGCCCUUGAGGCGUGGCUUCCGGAGCUAAACGCGUUAAGUCGACCGCCUGGGGAGUACGGCCGCAAGGUUAAAACUCAAAUGAAUUGACGGGGGCCCGCACAAGCGGUGGAGCAUGUGGUUUAAUUCGAUGCAACGCGAAGAACCUUACCUACUCUUGACAUCCAGAGAACUUAGCAGAGAUGCUUUGGUGCCUUCGGGAACUCUGAGACAGGUGCUGCAUGGCUGUCGUCAGCUCGUGUUGUGAAAUGUUGGGUUAAGUCCCGCAACGAGCGCAACCCUUAUCCUUUGUUGCCAGCGGUUAGGCCGGGAACUCAAAGGAGACUGCCAGUGAUAAACUGGAGGAAGGUGGGGAUGACGUCAAGUCAUCAUGGCCCUUACGAGUAGGGCUACACACGUGCUACAAUGGCGCAUACAAAGAGAAGCGACCUCGCGAGAGCAAGCGGACCUCAUAAAGUGCGUCGUAGUCCGGAUUGGA
rnacentral:rRNA from 1 species